UCACCUUCACCAAAAAAAAAAAAAAAAAAAAAAAAAAAGAAGACCACGGCCAAGUUAUACAAAACAUCCCAAAGGCAGUUUCAGCACAGAUUUAGUUGUGUGAGGACACACAACGAUGGAAGAACAGACGGUGCAACAUUCAAAUGUCAGAUCAAAGCUUGCAGGAGGGCAGAGGAUGAAAAGAUUGUGGCCUUGAUCUUGGAGACACACACAUGCGCACACAUGCACACUGCAACACGAAGCCAAAAGGAUAUUCUGCCGCCGCACUGUCCGUCCAGAUGGUUCGAAUGAGAAACUCCAAAUUAAUGGUUUUAUUUAGGACAUAAUAGAAAAGUUUGUGGAGACUGAUGCGAUAGAACGGCCACGAGUAAAGCAGGCGAGCUCAGUGCAGUCAACUCUAUAAUUUAAAGGCAGCACAGCCUCAAAAACGGAGCUUUAAAAUCUGACCAGCAUCAUUACUGUCUACCCUUGGACCUUAGACUCCUUUCAAAAACAUUUAACAUGGGAAAAGGGCAAGGAGGGUAUCCCCAGUAAUGAAGCUGAUCCCAGAAGACUGACAAAUGCCCCACCAGUUGCUCCUAAGAGAUAAUGAGCUGCUGAGUGAGAUGUUUGCGGGGCCAGAGGGCCGGGAUUGGAGUUGCUUCACUGGCUCUGCACAGAGAGGACCUGGGCUCGGCUCUAAAUUAGUGAGCCUUCUGGAUCAAUGUGGGCUGUAAUUAGCUGCUAUUGAUCCCAGACAGAUCAGCCACUACAGUAGGCCACAGCCAAGCACCUCUCAACGUCCAUCAAGCUGCACCCCCACUGCACAGCAGCGUAGCCUCAGAUCACUCUGAGAGCAAACAAAUAAUAUCAGCCAGCACACUCAGCUCCUGAAAGGCUGCUGAGGAGGGCAGAUCCUCGCCCAUGGGAGUCGAGCCCCGGCAGGAAAACGGCCCAAAUGAAUCUCCCAGCGCAAGCCCAUCUCAGAAAAGAUGUUUCCAGAGAUUGAAGCGCAGGGAUACCAGGUGGAAGAGUAGUGGUGCAAAGUGAGUGAGA